CCUACGGGAGGCAGCAGUGGGGAAUUUUGGACAAUGGGGGCAACCCUGAUCCAGCCAUGCCGCGUGAGUGAAGAAGGCCUUCGGGUUGUAAAGCUCUUUCGGCGGGGAAGAAAUGGCAACGGCUAAUAUCCGUUGUUGAUGACGGUACCCGCAUAAGAAGCACCGGCUAACUACGUGCCAGCAGCCGCGGUAAUACGUAGGGUGCGAGCGUUAAUCGGAAUUACUGGGCGUAAAGCGUGCGCAGGCGGUUUCGUAAGACAGACGUGAAAUCCCCGGGCUCAACCUGGGAACUGCGUUUGUGACUGCGAGGCUAGAGUACGGCAGAGGGGGGUAGAAUUCCACGUGUAGCAGUGAAAUGCGUAGAGAUGUGGAGGAAUACCGAUGGCGAAGGCAGCCCCCUGGGUUAGUACUGACGCUCAUGCACGAAAGCGUGGGGAGCAAACAGGAUUAGAUACCCUGGUAGUCCACGCCCUAAACGAUGUCAACUAGGUGUUGGAAGGGUUAAACCUUUUAGUACCGCAGCUAACGCGUGAAGUUGACCGCCUGGGGAGUACGGCCGCAANGGUUAAACUCAAAGGAAUUUGACGG
rnacentral:rRNA from 1 species